rnacentral:rRNA from 4 species
GGUUGACCUCGGAUCAGGUAGGAGUUACCCGCUGAACUUAAGCAUAUCAAUAAGCGGAGGAAAAGAAACCAACCGGGAUUGCCUCAGUAACGGCGAGUGAAGCGGCAAGAGCUCAAAUUUGAAAUCUGGCCCCUUGGGGUCCGAGUUGUAAUUUGCAGAGGAUGCUUCGGGUGCGGUCCCCGUCUAAGUGCCCUGGAACGGGCCGUCAUAGAGGGUGAGAAU